rnacentral:rRNA from 1 species
UACAGAGGUCUCAAGCGUUGUUCGGAUUCAUUGGGCGUAAAGGGUGCGUAGGUGGCGUCGUAAGUCAGGUGUGAAAUCUCGGGGCUUAACUCCGAAACUGCAUUUGAUACUGCGGUGCUUGAGGACUGGAGAGGAGACUGGAAUUUACGGUGUAGCAGUGAAAUGCGUAGAGAUCGUAAGGAAGACCAGUGGCGAAGGCGGGUCUCUGGACAGUUCCUGACGCUGAGGCACGAAGGCCAGGGGAGCAAACGGG